rnacentral:lncRNA from 1 species
GCUACUAUUAUAUGUUGAAGAGAAAUGAUGCAUUUACCAAAAAUAUGACUCAGAGACACAAAAUUCACUACCUCUACUAGAUCUUCCAUCUCAAGAAUAAGCCUGAUUACAUUGACCUGGUCCUUGAUAACUCCUCACUGAACUGCAACAAUAGAUGGUGAGUGGUUGCUGCUCAGCUGGCAGGUGACUGUGUUUUGAAAGCUUUGGAAGACUGUUUCCAGCUGAUUGGCUAUUUUCACCAUUGGUCUCCUGUGUUAUCAGAGAGAAAGAGAAUGGAUUUGGCAUUCUAGCUGAGCUCCAGGCACCCACGCAUCAAUGCAGCAUAUACACUUCAAAGAAUACUAGCCAGCAACCCAGAAAGGUCCCCAAGCACUCCCUGGCCUGCUUCUCUAUGAAACUCUCAAUGUGGGCAGAAGAACAUUUAAUGCUGUAUUCAGUGUAUUCAUGGGGGUAAAAGAAAAACUAAUGAGAAUAAAUAAGAGCCUUCUCUGCUGGGGGAAAUCUCA